GGGCACCUCAUUAACAGUCACAAGGAAUGACAGCCCAGGUUCACUACUUGAACUUAUCUGACAUUGCUUUGACAAGAGUGCUGGAGAACAGCAUUAGAGCUUUACAAGAGUAGAGAAUCUCCACUCAGCCUUUGUUAACAUGGAUUUUGUUUCUCAUGUGUCACGGACAUAAAGAACAACUUACUGUCAGAGGUAGCCUGCCUUUCACAAAUGAGGGUCUUUGCAGAUUGAAUUAAAGAACAAAGAUGAGAUCCUCUUGGAGUAUCUGUGAGGGCCCUAACACCAAUGUCAAGUGUCCUUAUAAGAGAUACACAGAGAACAGAUAGAAAAGAAGGAGGCAAUGUGACCAGAGGCAGAGAUUGAAGUCAUGGAUCCAGAAGCCAAGCAAUGUCUGGAACUACCAGAAGCUCGAAGAGGCAAGGAACAGAGACUCCUCAAGAGCCUUCAAAGAAGCAGGCCCUUGACAACAACUUGAUUUUGAACUUUUAGCCUCCAGAACCAUGAGGAAAUAAACUGCUAUUGUUUAUGCCA